rnacentral:rRNA from 1 species
GACGAACGCUGGCGGCGUGCUUAACACAUGCAAGUCGAACGGUGAUGCUCCAGCUUGCUGGAGUGGAUCAGUGGCGAACGGGUGAGUAACACGUGAGCAACCUGCCCCAGACUCUGGAAUAAGCGCUGGAAACGGUGUCUAAUACUGGAUACGAAACUGGCCCGCAUGGGCAUGGUUUGGAAAGUUUUUCGGUUUGGGAUGGGCUCGCGGCCUAUCAGCUUGUUGGUGAGGUAAUGGCUCACCAAGGCGACGACGGGUAGCCGGCCUGAGAGGGCGACCGGCCACACUGGGACUGAGACACGGCCCAGACUCCUACGGGAGGCAGCAGUGGGGAAUAUUGCACAAUGGGCGAAAGCCUGAUGCAGCGACGCCGCGUGAGGGAUGACGGCCUUCGGGUUGUAAACCUCUUUCAGCAGGGAAGAAGCGAAAGUGACGGUACCUGCAGAAGAAGCACCGGCUAACUACGUG